UAAGCGGAGGAAAAGAAACUAACAAGGAUUCCCCUAGUAACGGCGAGUGAAGCGGGAAGAGCUCAAAUUUGAAAUCUGGUAGCCUUCGGUUGCCCGAGUUGUAAUCUAGAGAAGUGUUUUCCGCGUUGGCCCAUGUACAAGUCCCUUGGAACAGGGCGUCAUAGAGGGUGAGAAUCCCGUCCUUGACAUGGACCCCCAAUGCUUUGUGAUACACUUUCAACGAGUCGAGUUGUUUGGGAAUGCAGCUCAAAAUGGGUGGUGAAUUCCAUCUAAAGCUAAAUAUUGGCGAGAGACCGAUAGCGAACAAGUACCGUGAGGGAAAGAUGAAAAGCACUUUGGAAAGAGAGUUAAACAGUACGUGAAAUUGUUGAAAGGGAAACGAUUGAAGUCAGUCAUGCUCUUUGGUUUAAGCCGUUCUGCGGUGUAUAUCAUUGAGUGGGGUCAACAUCAGUUUUGACCGCUGGAAAAGGGCAGGAGGAAGGUAGCACCCCCGGGUGAACUUAUAGCCUCUUGUCGUAUACAGUGGUUGGGACUGAGGAACGCAGCAUGCCUUUUGGCCGGGAUUCGUCCACGUACAUGCUUAGGAUGUUGACAUAAUGGCUUUAAACGAC
rnacentral:rRNA from 1 species